AUAGUUCACACAGUUUGAAUGUGAACCUCCAGCUGCUGCGAAACUGUCUUCACAUUCAUUUGGACAAAACUCCAGUGGAUUUCUACAACCUGUUUGAAUUCCUGCUUAAUUGGUUUUGUUUUACUAACAAGCUCCGCCCACA